CUGGCAGGCCGGGUGGUCGCCGCGCGCCUCGUGCGCGGGGAGGAAAGUCCGGGCUCCACCAGACAGGGUGCCGGGUAACGCCCGGGAGAGGCAACUCUACGGAAAGUGCCACAGAAACAUACCGCCCGCGUUCGCGGGUAAGGGUGAAAUGGCGAGGUAAGAGCUCACCGGCAGGAGGGAGACCUCCUGGAUGGGCAAACCCCACCCGGAGCAAAACCAAAUAGGGGGGCGAGAGCCUGGAGCUGGUGACCCCGUGUCACUGCCUUCAGGAGCACGGUGUCUGGCCGAGGUCCCCGGGUUGGUUGCUUGAUCCCGGCGGCAACGCCGGGGCUAGAUGGAUGGCCACCGCUCUCGCAAGGGAGUACAGAACCCGGCUUACAGGCCUGCCGGCCCC
rnacentral:RNase_P_RNA from 1 species